UAAUACGGAGGGUGCAAGCGUUAAUCGGAAUUACUGGGCGUAAAGCGUGCGUAGGUGGUAUGUUAAGUUAGAUGUGAAAGCCCUGGGCUCAACCUAGGAACUGCAUUUAAAACUGGCAAACUAGAGUAUAGGAGAGGAAAGUGGAAUUUCAGGUGUAGCGGUGAAAUGCGUAGAUAUCUGAAGGAACAUCAAUGGCGAAGGCAGCUUUCUGGACUAAUACUGACACUGAGGUACGAAAGCGUGGGUAGCAAACAGGAUUAGAUACCCUGGUAGUCCACGCCGUAAACGAUGACAACUAUCCGUUGGGAGGAUUUACCUCUUAGUGGCGAAGCUAACGCGUUAAGUUGUCCGCCUGGGGAGUACGGCCGCAAGGUUA
rnacentral:rRNA from 1 species